rnacentral:tRNA from 1 species
CCCUGGAGGUCCAGUGGUUAGGACUCAGCACUUUGACUGCUAAGGGCCUGGGUUCGAUCCCUGGUCCGGGGA